rnacentral:rRNA from 1 species
GACGAACGCUGGCGGCGUGCUUAACACAUGCAAGUCGAACGAUGACGACCGAGCUUGCUCGGUCUGAUUAGUGGCGAACGGGUGAGUAACACGUGAGCAACCUGCCCUUCACUCUGGGAUAACCUCGGGAAAUCGGGGCUAAUACCGGAUAUGAGCUCCUGUCGCAUGGCGGGUGUUGGAAAGUUUUCGGUGAAGGGUGGGCUCGCGGCCUAUCAGUUUGUUGGUGGGGUAGUGGCUCACCAAGGCGAUGACGGGUAGCCGGCCUGAGAGGGCGACCGGCCACACUGGGACUGAGACACGGCCCAGACUCCUACGGGAGGCAGCAGUGGGGAAUAUUGCACAAUGGGCGAAAGCCUGAUGCAGCGACGCCGCGUGAGGGAUGACGGCCUUCGGGUUGUAAACCUCUUUCAGCAGGGAAGAAGCGAAAGUGACGGUACCUGCAGAAGAAGCGCCGGCUAACUACGUG